rnacentral:rRNA from 1 species
UACGUAGGGUGCGAGCGUUGUCCGGAAUUAUUGGGCGUAAAGGGCUCGUAGGCGGUUUGUCGCGUCGGGAGUGAAAACACGGGGCUUAACCCCGUGCCUGCUUCCGAUACGGGCAGACUAGAGGUAUGCAGGGGAGAACGGAAUUCCUGGUGUAGCGGUGAAAUGCGCAGAUAUCAGGAGAAACACCGGUGGCGAAGGCGGUUCUCUAGGCAUUACCUGACGCUGAGGAGCGAAAGUGUGGGGAGCGAACAGG